rnacentral:rRNA from 1 species
AUUGAACGCUGGCGGCAGGCCUAACACAUGCAAGUCGAACGAGUGGCGGACGGGUGAGUAAUGUCUGGGAAACUCCCCGAUGGAGGGGGAUAACUACUCGAAACGCUAGCUAAUACCGCAUACCCUCGGAUGUGACCCGAUGGGAUUAGCUAGUAGGUGGGGUAACGGCUCACCGAGGCGACGAGCCCUCGCUGGUCUGAGAGGAUGACCAGCCACACUGGAACUGAGACACGGUCCAGACUCCUACGGGAGGCAGCAGUGGGGAAUAUGGCACAAUGGGCGCAAGCCUGAUGCAGCCAUGCCGCGUGUAUGAAGAAGGCCUUAGGGUUGUAAAGUACUUUCGGCGAGGAGGCGUUACUCGCAGAAGAAGCACCGGCUAACUCCGUGCCAGCAGCCGCGGUAAUUC